CGCGUAGGCGGUUUACACAGUCAGAUGUGAAAUUCCAGGGCUUAACCUUGGGGCUGCAUUUGAUACGUGUAGACUAGAGUGUGAGAGAGGGUUGUGGAAUUCCCAGUGUAGAGGUGAAAUUCGUAGAUAUUGGGAAGAACACCGGUGGCGAAGGCGGCAACCUGGCUCAUUACUGACGCUCAUAUGCGAAAGCGUGGGGAUCAAACAGGAUUAGAUACCCUAGUA
rnacentral:rRNA from 1 species